GAUGAACGCUGGCGGCGUGCCUAAUACAUGCAAGUCGAGCGAAUGGAUUAAGAGCUUGCUCUUAUGAAGUUAGCGGCGGACGGGUGAGUAACACGUGGGUAACCUGCCCAUAAGCCUAGGAAACCGGGGCUAAUACCGGAUAACAUUUUGAACCGCAUGGUUCGAGAUUGAAAGGCGGCUUCGGCUGUCACUUAUGGAUGGACCCGCGUCGCAUUAGCUAGUUGGUGAGGUAACGGCUCACCAAGGCAACGAUGCGUAGCCGAACUGAGAGGGUGAUCGGCCACACUGGGACUGAGACACGGCCCAGACUCCUACGGGAGGCAGCAGUAGGGAAUCUUCCGCAAUGGACGAAAGUCUGACGGAGCAACGCCGCGUGAGUGAUGAAGGCUUUCGGGUCGUAAAACUCUGUUGUUAGGGAAGAACAAGUGCUAGUUGAAUAAGCUGGCACCUUGACGGUACCUAACCAGAAAGCCACGGCUAACUACGUGCCAGCAGCCGCCGUAA
rnacentral:rRNA from 1 species